rnacentral:lncRNA from 1 species
GUCCUUCCGAUCCAGUAACACCUUAUCGACGUGCGUUUUCAACCUCACCUCCCCGCCGUGCUUCUCGAGCCCCCUCACGAGCGCGUUCGUGAUCUCCUCCGCGCCGCCCACGGGGAACUCAGGGUCGUUCCAUACAAGCGAUUGUCGGGGUGGAGUUCAAAGGCGUCAGGUGGAGUUCAAAGACAUCGAGGGCGGGUAUUGAAAGCGAGAGAUGGGCGGAGAGAGACGACGGCAAAAGUCCUUAAGAAACGGCGUUCACCACGCCAACGCGGUCGUAUGGGGACCAG